CUUUUAAAAGAUGAACAGUGUAUACUGUGAAGGAUUGGGAUUAAUUUUCAUCUUUUUCCAGGUUCUUAAAAUGCCCUGGACUUAAUUUUUGAUGUCUGUGGUAUUUUAGGCUUAUACCAGCCAGUUUGUGUCCCUUGUGAUGUUUGCCCUCAUGCUGUGUGAUGACAGAAUCUCCAUGCAAGAGAGGCGUAAAGAGAUCCUGCUUGGAUUGAAGCAGCUGCCAGACUUGAUUAAGGAGGUAGAGCAUGGAUGAUGAAAUUCAGAAGCUGGCAACAGAAGUCAUUCCUGAUAAAGGGACGAGGCUAUCACUAUGCUACAUGGCUUGAAGGAGCCCUGAAAAUCAAGGAGAUUACUUACAUGCACUCUGAAGGCAUCCUUGCUGGGGAGCUAAAGCACGGGUCUCUGGCCUUGCUGGACAAGUUGAUGCCUGUCAUCAUGAUCAUCAUGCGAUACCACACUUACGCCAAGUGCCAGAACGCUCUACAGCAAGUGGUUGCACAGCAGGUAGGUCAAGUGUUGUGAGGAUAGCCUAAA